rnacentral:rRNA from 1 species
GGAGCUUGCUCUUUCCGGAUGAGUUGCGAACGGGUGAGUAACGCGUAGGUAACCUGCCUGGUAGCGGGGGAUAACUAUUGGAAACGAUAGCUAAUACCGCAUAACAGUAGAUAUUGCAUGAUAUCUGCUUGAAAGGUGCAAAUGCAUCACUACCAGAUGGACCUGCGUUGUAUUAGCUAGUUGGUGAGGUAACGGCCCACCAAGGCGACGAUACAUAGCCGACCUGAGAGGGUGAUCGGCCACACUGGGACUGAGACACGGCCCAGACUCCUACGGGAGGCAGCAGUAGGGAAUCUUCGGCAAUGGGGGGAACCCUGACCGAGCAACGCCGCGUGAGUGAAGAAGGUUUUCGGAUCGUAAAGCUCUGUUGUAAGAGAAGAACGAGUGUGAGAGUGGAAAGUUCACACUGUGACGGUAUCUUACCAGAAAGGGACGGCUAACUACGUGCCAGCAGCCGCGGUAAUACGUAGGUCCCGAGCGUUAUCCGGAUUUAUUGGGCGUAA